GUUUUGUGAUCAAGGGUUGUUGUUGCCUUUCUUUCUCGUUGGAUCACUUGAGAGAAGAUUUUAACGUCACGUCUUCACCAUUCAACACCGGUUUCAAUUAGUGGAGAAGAGGAAUAGGGAAACAGUUUCAAGUGGCGUUUUUGGUGAUCAAUUUCCCGUCGCAUCUGAACGAACCAGAACACGAUUUUGGUGUCGUUGGAUAGAUCUCGCUGCAAGGAAGAAGUAGCAGUUUACAGUUCUUCAUUACGAGAUUCAGGUUGGACUUUUGGAGAAGAUAUUUGGGUUAACUCUGAUCGUUUUAGGACAAGUUGACGGUGGUUACUAAUAGAGCGAGUGUCAGGGAAGACACCAAAGUCUUCAAAGUUACUAGAAAAGUUUCAGAUUGUUGCAAGCCGUUUUAAGUCUCUAUCUUCUAGUUCUCAGUUCAGUCCAAAGUCAGGUGAGGGUGUGAUCUGCGGGAAUUCGACUACAAGUGCUACUCUUAUACUUCAUUAUUCUUUUGCAUAGGGUUAGAUUUCCUUGUGAACUAGUAUUUUCUUGAUAAUUAGGAAUUGAUAAUUUGAUGAGUGUUGAAUGUUUUAGGUGAUUGAUUUAAUGUCUUAGGAAUGACUAUUUAAGAUGUAUAAUAUGUGAGAUGAGAUUACCAUCCUUAGGGAUGAUGAAAGAG